rnacentral:rRNA from 1 species
CCUACGUGAGGCAGCAGUAGGGAAUCUUCCACAAUGGGCGAAAGCCUGAUGGAGCAACGCCGCGUGGGUGAAGAAGGUCUUCGGAUCGUAAAACCCUGUUGUUAGAGAAGAAAGUGCGUGAGAGUAACUGUUCACGUUUCGACGGUAUCUAACCAGAAAGCCACGGCUAACUACGUGCCAGCAGCCGCGGUAAUACGUAGGUGGCAAGCGUUAUCCGGAUUUAUUGGGCGUAAAGGGAACGCAGGCGGUCUUUUAAGUCUGAUGUGAAAGCCUUCGGCUUAACCGGAGUAGUGCAUUGGAGACUGGGAGACUUGAGUGCAGAAGAGGAGAGUGGAACUCCAUGUGUAGCGGUGAAAUGCGUAGAUAUAUGGAAGAACACCAGUGGCGAAAGCGGCUCUCUGGUCUGUAACUGACGCUGAGGUUCGAAAGCGUGGGUAGCAAACAGGAUUAGAUACCCUUGUAGUC